rnacentral:rRNA from 1 species
CACGUAGGGUGCGAGCGUUGUCCGGAAUUAUUGGGCGUAAAGAGCUCGUAGGCGGUGUGUCGCGUCGGCCCUGAAAACCUGCAGCUUAACUGUGGGCUUGCGGUCGAUACGGGGCAGGCUAGAGUUCGGGUAGGGGGAGACUGGAAUUCCUGGUGUAGCGGUGAAAUGCGCAGAUAUCAGGAAGAACACCCUGGCGAAGGCGGCUCUCUGGGGACGGGUACUGACGCUGAGACGCGAAAAGCGUGGGGGGAGCGAAACAGGG